UGGGAAUAUUGGACAAUGGGCGCAAGCCUGAUCCAGCCAUGCCGCGUGUGUGAAGAAGGCCUUUUGGUUGUAAAGCACUUUAAGCGAGGAGGAGGCUACUUGGAUUAAUACUCUAGGAUAGUGGACGUUACUCGCAGAAUAAGCACCGGCUAACUCUGUGCCAGCAGCCGCGGUAAUACAGAGGGUGCGAGCGUUAAUCGGAUUUACUGGGCGUAAAGCGUGCGUAGGCGGCUUUUUAAGUCGGAUGUGAAAUCCCUGAGCUUAACUUAGGAAUUGCAUUCGAUACUGGGAAGCUAGAGUAUGGGAGAGGAUGGUAGAAUUCCAGGUGUAGCGGUGAAAUGCGUAGAGAUCUGGAGGAAUACCGAUGGCGAAGGCAGCCAUCUGGCCUAAUACUGACGCUGAGGUACGAAAGCAUGGGGAGCAAACAGGAUUAGAUACCCUGGUAGUCCAUGCCGUAAACGAUGUCUACUAGCCGUUGGGGCCUUUGAGGCUUUAGUGGCGCAGCUAACGCGAUAAGUAGACC
rnacentral:rRNA from 1 species